rnacentral:lncRNA from 1 species
GUUGAGAACAUAUGAAGGGGCAGAUAUCCCUUGACUGUUGAAGGAAUACCCCUGCUUUAUAAAUAUACAUUUGUUGGUAUUUGGUUGAGGAAUAUAGGAUUGCCGCAGAGAAUAGAUGGAUGAAAAAGCUACAUUUAAACCCCCAUUAAACUUCAUUAUAAUCUGGAUUUUAUUGUAAAGACCAAAUUGCUAUUUCACUUUUUUCAAUGUUCAUGUGAGAGGAUUUCCUAAUUCCUCGGCCAUGGUAUAAGCAUCAAUUCUUUCAUGUUUGAUAAAAAUUUGGGAUG